AUCGCUUCUCGGCCUUUUGGCUAAGAUCAAAGUGUAGUAUCUGUUCUUAUCAGCUUAAUAUCUGAUACAAGGACCAUGUGUCCUUCUCGAUAUUAAACUUAUUUCUGAGCGGGGGAGGAGACUNNNN
rnacentral:snRNA from 1 species